rnacentral:tRNA from 1 species
GCCCCUGUAGUUUAAUGGAUAAAAUAGGAGAUUCCGGUUCUCCGGAUAACGGUUCGAUUCCGUUCGGGGGUA